GCAUAUCAAUAAGCGGAGGAAAAGAAACUAACAAGGAUUCCCCUAGUAACUGCGAGUGAAGCGGGAAAAGCUCAAAUUUAAAAUCUGGUGGUCUCUGGCCAUCCGAGUUGUAAUCUAGAGAAGUGUUACCCGCGUCGGACCGUGUAUAAGUCUCCUGGAAUGGAGCGUCAUAGAGGGUGAGAAUCCCGUCUUUGACACGGACUACCGAGGCUUUGUGGUAUGCUCUCAAAGAGUCGAGUUGUUUGGGAAUGCAGCUCAAAAUGGGUGGUAAAUUCCAUCUAAAGCUAAAUAUUGGCGAGAGACCGAUAGCGAACAAGUACCGUGAGGGAAAGAUGAAAAGAACUUUGGAAAGAGAGUUAAACAGUACGUGAAAUUGCUGAAAGGGAAACGCUUGAAGUCAGUCGCGUUGGCCGGGAAUCAGCCUUGCUUUUGCUUGGUGUACUUUCUGGUUGACGGGCCAGCAUCAGUUUUGACCGGUGGAAAAAGUUCAGGGGAAUGUGGCAUCUUCGGGUGUGUUAUAGCCCUUGUUCGUAUACAUCGGUUGGGACUGAGGAACUCAGCACGCCGCAAGGCCGGGUCUUUGACCACGUUCGUGCUUAGGAUGCUGGCAUAAUGGCUUUAAUCGACCCGUCUUGAAACACGGACCAAGGAGUCUAACAUGCCUGCGAGUGUUUGGGUGGAAAACCCGAGCGCGUAAUGAAAGUGAAAGUUGAGAUCCUUGUCAUGGGGAGCAUCGACGCCCGGACCUGACGUUUUCUGACGGCCCUGCGGUAGAGCAUGUAUGUUGGGACCCGAAAGAUGGUGAACUAUGCCUGAAUAGGGUGAAGCCAGAGGAAACUCUGGUGGAGGCUCGUAGCGAUUCUGACGUGCAAAUCGAUCGUCAAAUUUGGGUAUAGGGGCGAAAGACUAAUCGAACCAUCUAGUAGCUGGUUCCUGCC
rnacentral:rRNA from 1 species